GACGAACGCUGGCGGCGUGCUUAACACAUGCAAGUCGAACGGAAAGGCCCUGCUUUUGUGGGGUGCUCGAGUGGCGAACGGGUGAGUAACACGUGAGUAACCUGCCCUUGACUUUGGGAUAACUUCAGGAAACUGGGGCUAAUACCGGAUAGGAGCUCCUGCUGCAUGGUGGGGGUUGGAAAGUUUCGGCGGUUGGGGAUGGACUCGCGGCUUAUCAGCUUGUUGGUGGGGUAGUGGCUUACCAAGGGUUUGACGGGUAGCCGGCCUGAGAGGGUGACCGGCCAAAUGGGGACUGAGAUACGGCCCAGACUCCUACGGGAGGCAGCAGUGGGGAAUAUGGCACAAUGGGCGGAAGCCUGAUGCAGCAACGCCGCGUGCGGGAUGACGGCCUUCGGGUUGUAAACCGCUUUCGCCUGUGACGAAGCGUGAGUGAUGGUAAUGGGUAAAGAAGCACCGGCUAACUACGUG
rnacentral:rRNA from 1 species